rnacentral:rRNA from 1 species
AACAAACGCUGGCGGCGUGUCUUAAGCAUGCAAGUUGAGCGGCAAGGAGGAGAGAUCCUCCCUAGAGCGGCGGACUGGUGAGUAACGCGUGGGUAAUCUAUCGUAGGCAUGGGGAUAGUCACUAGAAAUAGUGGGUAAUACCGAAUACGUUCCAUGAGGGGAGUAUUCAUGGAAGAAAGGGUGCUACGGCACUGGCCUUAGGUGAGCUCGCGUCCCAUUAGCUAGUUGGUGAGGUAAAGGCCCACCAAGGCGAUGAUGGGUAGCCGGCCUGAGAGGGUGUACGGCCACACUGGGACUGAGAUACGGCCCAGACUCCUACGGGAGGCAGCAGCUAAGAAUAUUCCGCAAUGGACGAAAGUCUGACGGAGCGACGCCGCGUGGAUGACGAAGGCCGAAAGGUUGUAAAGUCCUUUUGCUGGGGAAGAAUAACCAUGGGAGGGAAUGCCCGUGGGAUGACAUGAACCGGCGAAUAAGCCCCGGCUAACUACGUGCCAGCAGCCGCGGUAA